rnacentral:rRNA from 1 species
GUCCACGCCCUAAACGAUGUCAACUGGUUGUCGGGGAAGUAAUUCCUUGGUAACGAAGCUAACGCGUGAAGUUGACCGCCUGGGGAGUACGGCCGCAAGGCUAAAACUCAAAGGAAUUGACGGGGACCCGCACAAGCGGUGGAUUAUGUGGAUUAAUUCGAUGCAACGCGAAAAACCUUACCUACCCUUGACAUGUGCGGAAUGGGGUAGAGAUACCUCGGUGCCCGAAAGGGAACCGCAACACAGGUGCUGCAUGGCUGUCGU